GAAAAUAAUUCAAUUUUAAUAAAACUAAAUAUCCGUUAAUUAGAAAUGUUUAUUAAUACAUAAUUUCGAUUUUUUCUCUUUCAAAUAUUUUUUAUAAAAUUUAGGGAAAUUGCCAAAAAUACUAUUUUCAAAGUACCACUUUUCAUGUUUACACUAACAACUUUUACCCUAAUCUUUAAUGAAUGAUAAAAGACAUUUAUAAACUUUUGAUUAACUUUGACAAAAAAAAACAUAUGACUAACUAAUAUAAACUUAAAACAUAACUCUAAACCCUAAAUCAUCAACUCUAAACCCUAAACCAUGAAACAUCAACUCUAAACCCUAAACCCCGAAACAUUAACUCUAAACCUUAAGUCUUAAACCCUAAACCUUCAAAUCUAAACCCUAAAACAUCAACUCUAAACCCUAAACGUAAACCCUAAACCCUAAAUCUAAACUUAAAACAUCAACUUUAAAGCCUAAAUCAUCAACUCUAAACCCUAAACCAUGAAACAUCAACUCUAAACCCUAAACCCCGAAACAUCAACUCCAAACCCUAAACACUAAACCUUCAAAUCUAAACCCUAAAACAUCAACUCUAAACCCUAAACGUAAACCCUAAACCCUAUAUUUUCUGAAAUU
rnacentral:lncRNA from 1 species